GUUAGGGUGGCAGAGCCCGGAAAUUGCAGAAGCUUUAAGCGCUUUAAACAGAGGUUCAAGUCCUCUCCUUAACU
rnacentral:tRNA from 1 species